rnacentral:rRNA from 1 species
GGCCCCUAUGUCCAGGGCUACACACGUGCUACAAUGGGCGAUACAGAGUGACGCGAAGCCGCGAGGUGGAGCAAAUCGCAGAAAAUCGCUCUCAGUUCGGAUUGGAGUCUGAAACCCGACUCCAUGAAGGUGGAAUCGCUAGUAAUCGCGCAUCAGCAUGGCGCGGUGAAUACGUUCCCGGGCCUU